rnacentral:rRNA from 1 species
GACCUGCGGAGGGAUCAUUACACAAAUAUGAAGGCGGGCUGGAACCUCUCGGGGUUACAGCCUUGCUGAAUUAUUCACCCUUGUCUUUUGCGUACUUCUUGUUUCCUUGGUGGGUUCGCCCACCACUAGGACAAACAUAAACCUUUUGUAAUUGCAAUCAGCGUCAGUAACAAAUUAAUAAUUACAACUUUCAACAACGGAUCUCUUGGUUCUGGCAUCGAUGAAGAACGCAGCGAAAUGCGAUAAGUAGUGUGAAUUGCAGAAUUCAGUGAAUCAUCGAAUCUUUGAACGCACAUUGCGCCCUUUGGUAUUCCAAAGGGCAUGCCUGUUCGAGCGUCAUUUGUACCCUCAAGCUUUGCUUGGUGUUGGGCGUCUUGUCUCUAGCUUUGCUGGAGACUCGCCUUAAAGUAAUUGGCAGCCGGCCUACUGGUUUCGGAGCGCAGCACAAGUCGCACUCUCUAUCAGCAAAGGUCUAGCAUCCAUUAAGCCUUUUUUCAACUUUUGACCUCGGAUCAGGUAGGGAUACCCGCUGAACUUAAGCAUAU